CUCAUAUCCUGUUCUUUAUUAUUUUUUUUGGGGUUUAUUUGGGUUCAAUUCUCAUUUCGUACAUCUUGUUAAACAUGAUGUUUUUCUGUCCGCAUUAGUUCUUGGGUUAGCAAGUUGAUAGUUAUGUAAUGAUCAAGCCUUGUUGAAUUGGUAAUUUAGUCGAGUGAUUAAAUUAUAAUCUUAAAAGGGUCCCUAAAGUAUUGGUUGCUGCUUAUGAAUUUUUAGAUGAACUAUGAUGUUGAGUAGGGGAAAUGUUUUCGUUUUUUAUUGGUACGUUUUUCUGAGUAUAGCCGGGAGGAAGAAGGGUAAGAUGAUGAAAAUACUUACUGGGAAAGAAUGAAAAGAUGAAUUUGAUUUUUGCCUUUAAUUAGUUUACAGAUGUUGCCACACUUAAGCAGAAUAAUUUUUCUCAUUUGGGAUUUUAGCUUGUUGGUCGAAUUCCAAGUUUGGUGGCUUUUCUUGGUUGGGCAUUUCCAUAACAUGUUGAAAGUGCAAAAGAAAGAGAGAUGGAUGCAUGUUAAGGGGUAUUGAAGUAAUAGGAAAGUUAAUGAGGCGCCUUUUUUGACAAUGCCCACUUUCUUAAGUAUAUAUUAACACGUAUGUGAUAAAGAAAUGAUCUUUUUCUGAAGGCAAAAUAUCUUUGAUCAAUCUGGUGGCGCCAUGUAGUAUGUAACUCUUUGUCGAUCGUUAGUUGAUCAAUCUGGUGGCAGCAUGAUUAUCCUGAUGGGUUAAUUGGCAAUGAGGUGCUUCAAGCAGAGGAGUCGAACCCUAACGUAUUGCUAGGAGGAAGAAAGGAAUAGAAAGAUGUUGCGUCUACAAGUCCACAGAGCAAAGAACCUUAUUUGACUCAGGGCCAUAGCAUGUAUGCUGUGACAUGCUCUCACCUUGAAGUAUUUCACUUCCAUGUCAAAUUGUGGAGCUGCACUAUUGGCUAGCCAAAACACUGGGAAAUUCCGUACAAAAGUCUGCCAUUUUUCUAUUGGAGAAAAUUACUAUGUCUUCUCUACAAUGUUGUAAUUUAGAGUCUGAGACCGAUGAACUAUCUGCUUUGCCUUCAGUAUUGUUGCCACAAGGUUUUGUUUCUUCUUUCUUAUGCAGAUACAUGAAAAUUUGCAUGUGUGGUCUAUAUGAUGUAUUGCUUAGGCCUUUAAUGUGCUUUUGUUGGAGGAAAAUGGUGGCCGUAAUGGCUUACGUUUUGGAGGUUUUUUUGAUACAAUUGAGGGCGUGGGAGCUGAGGAUACUGGUUUCACGUUAAGAUUACAACACAGAGACAAGAUUCACUUGCUCUAAUGACUUCAAGUGGAAGAAAUCAGAAGAAAAACUUGAUUUUACCCUGAAAUCUGCCUAGGAAAUAUUCAACCUUUGAAUGGUUCAAUUGGUUCAUCCAGGAAUUUUCAGCUGUUCGAUCUGGUUGAAUGCAAACUCAGAGAAGACUAAAAGUCUUUGAAACUUGGUGAAAGCCAGCGAAGAAAUUCACUAGAAACCAGACCAGUUUGGCCGAGGUUUUCUAUUGGUGCUCUCGAUUAUAUUUGCUGUCUUUUGAUGGAGUCCUUGAUUUAUUUGAUUUCUUUUUGUGUUUCCUUUGCAUACUAGUUGCUUGUCAGGGGGUCUGGAACUAAGGCAUGGGCAAAAAGAGUGAUAGACUGAUAGUGAUUGAUGGUGUUUGCAAGGCUUCUGGAAAUAGAUCUAAGGCUUUCAUUGGCCCAAUCUAUGGGAUUUAUUCAUAAAUUGGGCACUAACAUUUUGAUUCCCCCACUAGGGUUAUCUCUAUUUAUACAGCCCAAACAAAAGGCAUAUCCCGGACUCCAUUUUCUUAUUGCCUGAUAUCUGUUCCUUUUGAUGCUUUCCUCCCCACCUUCCUUUCCACCUUCUGCCUCUCCUGUUCUUGCUCUGUCUUUUCCCUCCUAUAGGAACAUGUUGAUUGCUGGUGGCCAUCCAUAGUUUUCUUGAUUGAAAGAUAGGUUUAUAAAUUUGGCAUACUGAAUUUGGCCUCUUGAAAUUGUAUUUUAAUUUGUUUUAGAGUUUUUGCUUGAAAAUCAGAAAAGGCAUCAGGGGUUAUGGUUGAGUUUGGGCUUUUGUUAGCUGCUAGUGAAUUUUCAACAUGUUAAGUCAAAUCAAAUUUCAGCUCUCUUUGGUUUCCUGAUCAUAGAAGCUAUUCUUCAACUGAACUAUUGUGUUCUCUCAUUAUUAACCUUUUUAUUGUUUGGGCCUAAUGAAGAUGGGAUGAGAAACUGACAGAGUGGUGAUACCAUGCGUUAGUGGAUAGAUUAGGUAAUAGGUCAUGCAUCAGUAACAGUUCAGCCAACAAAUCAAAGAUCAAGGGUAGUUCAGCCACAGAGUUGCUAUCAUAUAGAGAAAUGCUAUCUAGGCUCUCACUCUUUUUGUUUUUUUCUUUUUAAUAGAUUAAGGUAAAACAUAGAGAAAUGCAGAAAUAUGGAAGAGAUGCAGAAACAUAACCACACAAUAGGAUGCACUUGGGCAAUGUAAUGUUAUUUCUGCAAAAAUUUUUUAAACAUUGUCUCACCAUCUAUUAUCUUGAAUGAACCUGUCAAGUCCAAUCAUGUAAUUGGAAACAAAGAGGUUAUAAUCUCUAUAGAAUUUUCUAUUCAGUUAGUAUCAGUGUAUAUUUCAUGCUUGCAGAAAUAAAAAGGGCAGAUGGUUGACAUGUGAGCUAACAUCAGAAUUCUCUGUUUCUGAGCUUGUUCCUUCUCUCUCCAUAAUCUCUCUCCAUAGAAUUUUCUAUCUCCAGGGUUGUUGCCAGCCAUACCUUUAUCAGAAUCCAAUUCCUUUUUUUUUCUGUUUUUAAAUCUACAUGACUUAGCAUGUGAAUCUUAUUUUGCCGAAGCAAGCUAAGUAUUUUAACUCUUUCCAUUUUGUUUGAAGCUCCUUUAUGGUUUUAAAUUCUUACCCUGAGAAUCUAGACGUUGUUAUGUCAGAAUAUUCUGUUUGAGAAUGACAUUUUAGCAGUUGCUGUAAAUCAUUAUGUAAUGUGUCAUCCGAUGAGUAGUUUUUCUAACCAGUCAUAGAGAAAUUGGAAAAAGAAACAUUUGUACGUGUCUUUUGAUACAUUGAUUUUGCCAAAGAAAGCUUCUGCGUGUAUUAAUAAUUCUGUGCAUUGGAUUAGCAAGUUUGGGCAUUUCUUGCAUUUUGAUAUGGAUAAAGAGUGCGUUCAAAUGAUGCCGGCAACUCCAAUAUCUAGGGAAAGUGAAAAAGGUUGAUUCUGUACUUUGGGUCUACAAAGGGGCAGCUGCAUCUGAUUGAAAUGCGGAGGUCAAACACUGCUUUGGCAUAUAUCUUGGAGAUGAAGAGGGACUACUCAGGAUGAACCUCGCAGAUUCUGCCUUGUAAUAUCAACUGCAAUGGGCACGCGACUGGUGCAACUUUCUCAUAAUUCAAAACAUUUUGGUAGGGUAAGGUCUCUUUGUGAACCUGACCAGGGUUUCAUGACACAAUUCAAGUGGUACAGAUGCCACCCUCAUAUCAUGACCCUCACAGCUGUUUGAUUGAUGCCGGCAAAAGUAAAGCUAUCAGAAGUUUAUUUAGUGAAGGAUCUUUCAAUUCAUGUAAUAUGUCAAACCUGACAUUCACCUUUCCUGGUUCCAAAGAUAAGAUUAUACAGGUGCUAUGUGUAUCGGUUGAACUCUACAUGCAUCUUUUUCUUUUCAAACAUUGAUUUAUCCAUACUCGUUUUUUGGGAUAUAUUCAAGUGUUUGUUCUAG